AGCCUUUCGGAGCUGUGCGGCAUUCUGAGCAGGAAUGGCAGUGUGGACCUCUGUGAUGGGACAUCUUGUGGGAUCUCACAGCCAGUUCUGUGGCAAAGGAGGAUGAAGGCUUACGAGGACUCGUCAGGAAGCUGGAUAACAGAGCGAGCGCAAUGUGCUAGAAUAGAAGACCAGAAAAUGAAAUGGUGGAGUUUGAGGCUGGAUAGACAGUUUGAAAGUUAACUGGUUGCAUGCUUGUUCAUUUGGCUGGCUUGCUUGGGUACAAAUAAUGGUUUGAAUAAAGAAAGGUAUUAAUGGGUCACCUCAAGUGAAGGCACUGCAAACACAAUGAUUGGUCAUUCUGAAUUUCCGGUCCUUCAUUCUGAAUUUCAAAGGCUCCUGUGACAAGUGGACAUGCAGUGACUGCACCUUUGUUUCUGAGGUGCCUGGAUGGAGGCUCAAAUAGAAGAUGGUGUCAGAUAUAUUGUGUUAAAAUUUUACCAUUAAAGUGUAUUAUAACAUGAAC
rnacentral:lncRNA from 1 species